UGCAGCCCUGGCCAGAGAGGGCAGAAGCCAUUUAUUGUGGAUGCAAAGCUGUGACUAUGGCUGCCUGAACAGUGUGAUAUAUGUUCUCUAUCUCUGCUUUUAUAAGGCAGCUGUUUCUCGGAGGAUCAAGCUCAGGCUACACAGAAGCACUGCUGAUUUCAGCCCUGGCAGGACUCCUGUUUAAACAUACUUCCCAGAAAUCUUGGGCAGCUUGCCAUGGGCUUUGGACUUGGACUGAAGCUACAGCAUUUACUCUCCUGGGUCUCCAACUUGCCAACUGCAGAUUUUGUGGCUUCUCAGCCUCCAUACUGUCAUCUACUUGUUUCCAAAGUUAUUUGGGUCAGCAUUUUCCUCCACCCACCACUUAAAACUGAUUUGUUUCAUACAUUUGAAAUGUAUGAAAAGCCAGAAAUCCAGGACCCACCCUGGCCUGCUCCCUUUUUCUCACCUACUGUGUUAAGGAUAAGUCAAUUGAGCUUCACUUCUCUAAUUGAAAUCACCGUGCUGAUGGAGUCUGUCUGUGGAAAUGAAAGGUGGCUACCAUAAUCUGUUGGGAGUUGAAUUAAUCCUCUGGGAGUGAGGCUGACCUAAUUACUCAGAAAUACUGGGCUUGCUUUCAUUCUGUGGAAUACAGCCAUGAGAAAGAGGCCAGCAUGCCAUUUCCUAAUCUUUUCUUGAAUUGCCUGAAACUCACCUAACAUGAAACUGAGAAGCCUUUUCAUUUGAAAGUGGUAUUUCUUAUGUUUUUUAUCUUUUUGCUUGAAAGUAUUCUUAAACUAAAGAAAGGAGAAACAGAAAAGGUGAAGAAGCCAAGAGGCUGGAGUUUCCUUUUGAAUGGAUAUUCAUCCAUGAAGCUGUUGAUUCUGUUUUUCUGUUCCUCCAGAUGUCUACACUUUUACCUCUGCUUGCCUGAUACAACCACCACCAGUCACCUCACAGAAUAACUCACUCCUUAAGAAUCUGAUCAGGAAUCAGCCUUCCCUGAUCACAAACACUGAGUUUAGAAGUCCCUCCACAGUGUCCCCCGUAACCCUGUGCUACCUCACUGCCUCAUAGUUUAGUGCCGUUUGUGUACAUGCCUAUCUUCGUCCAUGGAUCCAGAACAACUUGUAAAAAUGACUGUACUUAUCACCUUCAGUAUUCAAUGACUAAACUAUAAUUUUAACAUAUCUGGCAGAAUGAAUCACUUGGGGAUUUCUGCCAACACUACCAAUAUAUUACUCCUAAUUUGUAAUUAUUACUUAGCAUGGAUUAUAGUACCGGCUGUUGGAGAGCCAAUGUGGCAGACCCUAAGUGGAAUAAAAUGUCAGUAGCAGUCUAGGAGCAUAUAUUUAUUGGAAUAGAUCAUUCAUUCAUUUGUUCAUUAACUAAUUUGUUCAUUAAAUAAACAUUUAUUAAGCA
rnacentral:lncRNA from 1 species